UACGUAGGGCGCAAGCGUUGUCCGGAAUUAUUGGGCGUAAAGAGCUCGUAGGUGGCUUGUCGCGUCUGCCGUGAAAGCCCAUGGCUUAACUGUGGGUCUGCGGUGGAUACGGGCUGGCUAGAGGUAGGUAGGGGCAAGCGGAAUUCCUGGUGUAGCGGUGAAAUGCGCAGAUAUCAGGAAGAACACCCGUGGCGAAGGCGGUUCUCUGGGACGGUACUGACGCUGAGACGCGAAAGCGUGGGGAGCGAACAGG
rnacentral:rRNA from 1 species